AUGAACAAGGAAGGACUGCCUGCCUUCGAGAAGCUGACAGGGGAAGGCGGCGGGCAGGUAAGUCGAGAGCACGGGGGGCCCCUGAGCCGCUGGCAAGUGACAUGCCUUCUCCCAGGCAAGGGAGUCACCGUCGGGUGCGGCCUGGCACAGGCAAUGGCCAACAGGACAGCGUCCACCACAGGAACCCAUGCACCGCACACGCCGUGGCAGUGGAGACGGGGCUCGCGGCAGCGAGGCAGCAAGGAUAGGUGUGGGCAGUGGGCAAGCCAAGACGUACACGUGCCUCUGGAUCACGCCGAGGAAGGCCUCAAGGGUGACAGAAACGAGGAGUCACACGGCAUCUUCCGAGGAGUAAUGCCAUCAGGCCCGUGGGGUAGACGGCCCGGCCACGAGGUGCGGGAUGGGGGGAGCCUGUCCCAACUGCCCACACAACAAGGGGGGGGGGGGUCACACGCUGGUGGCAGCAAGUUGAAGGGGGGGAAGUCGAAGCCAGGACCAUGGGAGACCCGCCGCCGAACAGGGAACCCAAGGAAAAGAGGCUCAGAUGCAACCGGUUUUGAAUUCACUGCACUGACCCAUCUGUCGAGCCGACCUCCUGUCGCACGGCCUCGAGCAGAGACGGGGGGAUGCAGUGGAUCCGGGGCCCACAUCCUGGGUGACGGCUCAAGGCACCAAAGAUCCAGAUGCCACCAAGAGGGACAGCGUAGUUGGAGACCAGAGGGUCCGAAGGGCCUUCCCCGCGCCCAGCAUCCCCGGGCCCGGCGGGGAAGGCUGAGCGCCGAGGAAGGUGCAGGAGAGCAGGAGGGGAGGAGGGAGGACCUCCGGCCUGGGCUCCCAGGCAGAGGGGCCAGGGGACCGGACACUUACCCCGGCCCACCCGCCAGGCCUUGGCCUCCCCGGCUCCACCUGUCCGGCGGCCGCAGACUAGUCCCCACUACAUCCCCACCACGUGAGGCGCGGCCUGUAGGGACACAUCCCUCCGUGCCCAUGUCGGCCUCCAGCACCGUGUCGGGCAAAUUGGGAAGUGAACCCACAGUCCCAGCAGCAUGGCCACAGAGCUUCCAGGCUGUUCUGCCGUGA
rnacentral:lncRNA from 1 species